GAUCAUGGCUCAGGAUGAACGCUGGCGGCGUGCUUAACACAUGCAAGUCGAACGAAGCACUCUAUUUGAUUUUCUUCGGAAAUGAAGAUUUUGUAACUGAGUGGCGGACGGGUGAGUAACGCGUGGGUAACCUGCCUCAUACAGGGGGAUAACAGUUGGAAACGACUGCCAAUACCGCAUAAGCGCACAGGAUCGCAUGAUCCGGUGUGAAAAACUCCGGUGGUAUGAGAUGGACCCG
rnacentral:rRNA from 1 species